rnacentral:misc_RNA from 1 species
CCUGCACAAGCUAAAUCCAUAUAGUGCAAUGGCAAGUCUAGCUUAUUCCUUGUUCAUUUUAAGCCUAUUUACCUUCACCCUGCUCAACCCAGUUUGUUCCGAGCUGGAUGAAUAUUUGUUUAGCUUUGGGGAUGGACUUUAUGAUGCAGGCAAUGCUAAAUUUAUAUAUCCUGAUAAGUAUCUUCCCUCUUAUCACCAUCCAUAUGGUACCACUUUCUUCGACUAUCCUACAGGAAGAUUUUCUGAUGGUCGCACAGUUGUUGAUUUUGUUGCUGAAAAUGUGAGCUUACCUCGUAUUCCACCGUUCAAAAACAAGGAAGCAAAUUUCACUUAUGGCGCCAAUUUCGCUUCAGAAGGUGCAACUGCUUCGGAUAGUAAUCCGCUAAUCGACUUUCGAAGCCAGAUUAGGGACUUCGGAGAGUUGAAACUGGAAUGGGCAGUCCAACUAGUUAAUGUAACCGAACUAGCAAGGAGGCUGAAAAAGGCAGUUUACUUAAUUUCCUUUGGGGCUGAUGAUUAUUUGAAUUAUGAAAUACCUUCUGAAGCCAGCCGAGAACAAUUGGAAAGUAUUGUGGAUGUAGUGCUUGGCAACAUUUCGGACAGGAUCAAGGAAUUGUAUGAUUUUGGAGCAAGGAAAUUUGUAGUUGAGAACGUUGCACCCCUAGGCUUAAUUCCAUUUAUUAAACAAACGUCCGACAAUUCUACACUAUUUUAUGAACUUGCAUCAUUGCACGCAAUGAAACUACCUCAAAUCCUCGAGAAAAUACAAGAUGGGUAUCUUUUUCCAGAAUUCAACUAUACAGUCUUCAAUUACUUCGGCAUCAUAAAAGAAAUUAUAGAUGCACCUGGCGAACAUGGCUUCAAGUACGGGGACAUUGCAUGCUGUGGCAAUUCGACAUAUCGUGGGCAAGCUUGUGGAUUUUUGGAUUAUGAAUUUUGUGUGUGUGGUAAUAAGACUGAGUAUUUGUUUUUUGACGGUACCCAUAACACUGAUGCCGCCAAUAAUCUACUAGCUGAAUUAAUGUGGGACAAGGAAUCAGGAUUCAUAUCACCUUAUGGCGUUAAGGACUUCUUUCCAUCUCCUACUACCAUUCAGACCCUUCUUACCGAAGCUACUGCAUUAGGUUAAUUGAAGGCAUAUAUAUUAUUUAAGUUACUGUGUCUGCUAUAUAUAUGUGUCUGUAUUUCUAAUAAUUAAAUAAGGCAACAAAUUCGAUAUAGUUUUUGUUGUCCCUACUAAGGAGUUCAGAAGGAUGGAUGGAUUGAACUCUUUUACGUGUUUCAGCUAUUGCGUGUAGCUAGCCUAUUGAAAAAUCUCAUCUAUGCAAAAUUCAAUAUGUGUGUUUUUAUAGGGAAUAUAUAACAAAUAAUCACGGUUUUAAUUAAAAUACCUUUCACUUGUGCG